AAUGAACGUUGGCGGCGUGGAUUAGGCAUGCAAGUCGAACGGGCCGCAAGGCCAGUGGCGGAAGGGUGAGUAAUGCGACGGUAACCAACCCCGGAAAUGGGUAUAGCCGCGGGAAACUGCGGGUAAUCCCCAGCGACGUGUCGGGUCGGCAUCGACCUGACACCAAAGCUCCGGCGUUCCGGGACGGGCCGUUGUGGUAUUAGCUAGUUGGCGGGGUAACGGCCCACCAAGGCUGCGAUGCCUACCGGGCGUGCGAGCGUGGCCCGGCACACUGGGACUGAGACACUGCCCAGACUCCUACGGGAGGCUGCAGUCGAGAAUCUUCGGCAAUGGGCGCAAGCCUGACCGAGCGACGCCGCGUGGAGGACGAAGGCCUUUGGGUUGUAAACUCCUGUCGAGGGGGAGGAAGGCGCAAGCUUGACCGAUCCCUGGAGGAAGCACGGGCUAAGUUCGUGCCAGCAGCCGCGGUAACAC
rnacentral:rRNA from 1 species